CUGGUUGAUCCUGCCAGACCCGACUGCUAUCGGAUUGGGACUAAGCCAUGCGAGUCAACUCCGCAAGGGGUGGCGCACGGCUCAGUAACACGUAGUCAACCUACCCUGGGGACGGGGAUAACCUCGGGAAACUGAGGCUAAACCCCGAUGGGCCAUGGCUCCUGGAAUGGGCUAUGGCUGAAAUCUACAUGGCCCCAGGAUGGGACUGCGGCCGAUCAGGUUGUUGGUGGGGUAAUGGCCCACCAAGCCUAUACCCGGUGCGGGCUCUGAGAGGAGGAGCCCGGAGAUGGGCACUGAGACAAGGGCCCAGGUCCUAUGGGGCGCAGCAGGCGCGAAACCUCCGCAAUGGGCGAAAGCCCGACGGGGUCAGUCCGAGUGGUUCCCGCCGAGGGAACCUUUUGCCAGCUGUAAACAGGCUGGCGAAUAAGGGGUGGGCAAGUUUGGUGUCAGCCGCCGCGGUAAUACCAGCACCCCGAGUGGUCGGGACGAUUAUUGGGCCUAAAGCAUCCGUAGCCGGCCCAGUAAGUCCUCCGUUAAAUCCAACGGCUCAACCGUUGGGCUGCGGGGGAUACUGCUGGGCUAGGGGACGGGAGAGGCGAGGGGUAUUCCCGGGGUAGGGGUAAAAUCCACUGAUCCCGGGAGGACCACCAGUGGCGAAGGCGCCUCGCUAGAACGUGCCCGACGGUGAGGGAUGAAAGCUGGGGGAGCGAACCGGAUUAGAUACCCGGGUAGUCCCAGCCGUAAACGAUGUAGGCUCGGUGUUGGGCUGCCUCAGUGGCAGCCCAGUGCCGCAGGGAAGCCGUUAAGCCUACCGCCUGGGGAGUACGGCCGCAAGGCUGAAACUUAAAGGAAUUGGCGGGGGAGCACCAC
rnacentral:rRNA from 1 species